rnacentral:rRNA from 1 species
ACGGAUAUCUCGGCUCUUGCAUCGAUGAAGAACGUAGCGAAAUGCGAUACUUGGUGUGAAUUGCAGAAUCCCGCGAACCAUCGAGUCUUUGAACGCAAGUUGCGCCCAAGGCCUUUUGGCCGAGGGCACGCCUGCCUGGGCGUCACGCAAAACACGCUCCCACC